rnacentral:rRNA from 1 species
AUGGCGUAUGCAAGUGAUGAGAGUAUGUUCAAGUAUUUAAAAGUUGUCAGCAAGAUGUUUGAUAGUGAGGCUGAAGGCUAUGAAUUCUACAAAAAAUAUGCUCUUGAAAAAGGUUUUAGUGUGAGGAAAAGCUACGUUGAGUGGGAUGGAUCCAACAAAUACAUAAUUUUAAGGAAAAUUGUGUGUAGUCGUCAAGGGUUUCGCGAAGAGAAGCACAUGAAAAGAAAGAUGGAAGAUAGAAAGAGGAGGCCACGAAGUUUAACUCGUGUUGGGUGUAAUGCUAAAUUGGUCAUUACGAGACAGGAGGAAACCGGUCGGUGGUUUGUCAAGGAUUUCAUCGAUGAGCACAGCCAAUAUCCUCUAGCCCCACGGGAUCUUUCUUGUCUGCUGCGUUCGCACAGACGAAUUAGCGAUGAGCAGAAAGCGGACAUUGCGGACAUGGAAAAAUGUGGGAUCCGCAAAUACCGUAUUAUGGAUAUUUUGUGCUUUCAAUACGGUGGAUUUGAUAAGGUUGGAUGCAUAAAGAUGGACAUUUAUAAUUUCUGCCAUGCUAAUAAGCAGGAGACAAUCAGUGCCGGUGAUGCUAAAACGGUGAUCAUGCACAUGAUGGCGAGGCGAGAGCGAGAUGUGGAUUUUUUCUUCAAGUACUUGGUA